AGUCGAGGGGCAGCGUGACGAUAGCUUGCUAUUGUUGAUGGCGACCGGCGCACGGGUGAGUAACGCGUAUCCAACCUGCCCUUGUCCAUCGGAUAACCCGUCGAAAGGCGGCCUAACACGAUAUGCAGCUCUCAGCAGGCAUCUAACGAGAACGAAAUGUAAAGGAGAAGGAUGGGGAUGCGUCUGAUUAGCUUGUUGGCGGGGUAACGGCCCACCAAGGCGACGAUCAGUAGGGGUUCUGAGAGGAAGGUCCCCCACAUUGGAACCGAGACGCGGUCCAAACUCCUACGGGAGGCAGCAGUGGGGAAUAUUGGUCAAUGGGCGAGAGCCUGAACCAGCCAAGUAGCGUGCAGGAUGACGGCCCUAUGGGUUGUAAACUGCUUUUAUGCGGGGAUAAAGUGAGCCACGUGUGGCUUAUUGCAGGUACCGCAUGAAUAAGGGCCGGCUAAUUCCGUGCCAGCAGCCGCGGUAAUACGGAAGGUCCGGGCGUUAUCCGGAUUUAUUGGGUUUAAAGGGAGCGUAGGCCGUCUGGUAAGCGUGUUGUGAAAUGUCGGGGCUCAACCUGGGCAUUGCAGCGCGAACUGUCAGACUUGAGUGCGCGGGAAGUAGGCGGAAUUCGUCGUGUAGCGGUGAAAUGCUUAGAUAUGACGAAGAACUCCGAUUGCGAAGGCAGCCUGCUGUAGCGCAACUGACCCUGAAGCUCGAAAGCGUGGGUAUCGAACAGGAUUAGAUACCCUGGUAGUCCACGCGGUAAACGAUGGAUGCUCGCUGUUUGCGUCUGACGUAAGCGGCCAAGCGAAAGCGUUAAGCAUCCCACCUGGGGAGUACGCCGGCAACG
rnacentral:rRNA from 1 species